CGCUGAGUUUGAUCCUGGCUCAGGAUGAACGCUAGCGGCAGGCUUAAUACAUGCAAGUCGAGGGGUAUAGUUCUUCGGAGCUAGAGACCGGCGCACGGGUGCGUAACGCGUAUGCAAUCUACCUUUUACAGAGGGAUAGCCCAGAGAAAUUUGGAUUAAUACCUCAUAGUAUGUGAGAAUCGCAUGGUUUGAUAACUAAAGUUCCAACGGUAAAAGAUGAGCAUGCGUCCCAUUAGCUAGAUGGUAAGGUAACGGCUUACCAUGGCAACGAUGGGUAGGGGUCCUGAGAGGACGACCAGCCACACUGGAACUGAGACACGGUCCAGACUCCUACGGGAGCAGCAGUGGGGAAUAUUGCACAAUGGACGAAAGCCCUGAUCCCAGCCA
rnacentral:rRNA from 1 species